UGGGGAAUAUUGCACAAUGGGCGCAAGCCUGAUGCAGCCAUGCCGCGUGUGUGAAGAAGGCCUUCGGGUUGUAAAGCACUUUCAGCGGGGAGGAAGGCGGUGAGGUUAAUAACCUCAUCGAUUGACGUUACCCGCAGAAGAAGCACCGGCUAACUCCGUGCCAGCAGCCGCGGUAAUACGGAGGGUGCAAGCGUUAAUCGGAAUUACUGGGCGUAAAGCGCACGCAGGCGGUCUGUCAAGUCGGAUGUGAAAUCCCCGGGCUCAACCUGGGAACUGCAUUCGAAACUGGCAGGCUAGAUUCUUGUAGAGGGGGGUAGAAUUCCAGGUGUAGCGGUGAAAUGCGUAGAGAUCUGGAGGAAUACCGGUGGCGAAGGCGGCCCCCUGGACAAAGACUGACGCUCAGGUGCGAAAGCGUGGGGAGCAAACAGG
rnacentral:rRNA from 1 species